CCUACGGGUGGCAGCAGUGAGGAAUAUUGGUCAAUGGACGCGAGCCUGAACCAGCCAAGUAGCGUGAAGGAUGACUGCCCUACGGGUUGUAAACUUCUUUUAUAAAGGAAUAAAAUGUUCCACGUGUGCGUUUUUGUAUGUACUUUAUGAAUAAGGAUCGGCUAACUCCGUGCCAGCAGCCGCGGUAAUACGGAGGAUCCGAGCGUUAUCCGGAUUUAUUGAGUUUAAAGGGAGCGUAGAUGGGUUGUUAAGUCAGUUGUGAAAGUUUGCGGCUCAACCGUAAAAUUGCAAUUGAGACUGGCAGCCUUGAGUACAGUAGAGGUGGGCGGAAUUCGUGGUGUAGCGGUGAAAUGCUUAGAUAUCACGAAGAACUCCGAUUGCGAAGGCAGCCUACUAGACUGCCACUGACACUGAGGCUCGAAAGUGUGGGUAUCAAACAGGAUUAGAUACCCUAGUAGUC
rnacentral:rRNA from 1 species